CCCUUAGAUGUUCUGGGCCGCACGCGCGCUACACUGACGAAGUCAGUGAGCAUCUCCUACGCCGAAAGGUGCGGGGAAUCUUGUGAAACUUUGUCGUGCUGGGGAUUGAUUUUUGAAAUUCUUGAUCAUCAACGAGGAAUUCCUAGUAAGCGCAAGUCAGCAGCUUGCGUUGAUUACGUCCCUGCCCUUUGUACACACCGCCCGUCGCUACUACCGAUUGAAUGGUUUAGUGAGAUUUUUGGACUGGAACUCUCUUGUUCAGCAAUGAACGAGAGGGACUCUGGGAAGCUAUUCUAACUGUAUCAUUUAGAGGAAGUAAAAGUCGUAACA
rnacentral:rRNA from 1 species